UACAGAGGUGGCAAGCGUUGUUCGGAAUUACUGGGCGUAAAGGGCGCGUAGGCGGCGCUCCAAGUUAGGCGUGAAAGCCCCGGGCUCAACCUGGGAAUUGCGCUUAAGACUGGAGUGCUCGAGUGCGGAAGAGGUGAGUGGAAUUCCCAGUGUAGAGGUGAAAUUCGUAGAUAUUGGGAAGAACACCAGUGGCGAAGGCGGCUCACUGGUCCGCAACUGACGCUGAGGCGCGAAAGCGUGGGGAGCAAACAGG
rnacentral:rRNA from 1 species